ensembl:lncRNA
GAGGGAGAGAGAGAGGAAAGGAGAGCGAGAGAGAGGAAAGGAGAGCGAGAGAAAAGGAGAGCGAGAGAGAGGAAAGGAGAGCGAGAGGAAAGGAGCGAGAGGAAAGGAGAGCGAGAGGAAAGGAGAGAGAGAGAGGGGAGGAGCGAGAGGAAAGGAGAGCGAGAGAGGGGAGGGUAGAGAGAGAGAGGAAAGGAGAGCGAGAGAGAGGAAAGGAGAGCGAGAGAGGGGAGGGUAGAGAGAGAGGGGAGGGUAGAGAGAGAGGGGAGGGUAGAGAGAGAGAGGAAAGGAGAGUGAGAGCGAGAGAGAGGAAGGUAGAGAUAGAGGGGAGGGUAGAGAGAGAGAGAGGGAGGGUAGAGAGAGAGAGAGGGGAGGGUAGAGAGAGAGAGAGGGGAGGGUAGAGAGAGAGAGAGGGGAGGGUAGAAAGAGAGAGGGGAGGAUAGAGAGAGAGGGGAAAGGAGAGGAGAGAGAGGAAG